rnacentral:rRNA from 1 species
AACGAACGCUGGCGGCAUGCCUAACACAUGCAAGUCGAACGAGAUCUUCGGGUCUAGUGGCGCACGGGUGCGUAACGCGUGGGAAUCUGCCCUUUGGUUCGGAAUAACAGUUGGAAACGACUGCUAAUACCGGAUGAUGACGAAAGUCCAAAGAUUUAUCGCCAGAGGAUGAGCCCGCGUAGGAUUAGCUAGUUGGUGUGGUAAAGGCGCACCAAGGCGACGAUCCUUAGCUGGUCUGAGAGGAUGAUCAGCCACACUGGGACUGAGACACGGCCCAGACUCCUACGGGAGGCAGCAGUGGGGAAGAUUGGACAAUGGGCGAAAGCCUGAUCCAGCAAUGCCGCGUGAGUGAUGAAGGCCUUAGGGUUGUGAAGCUCUUUUACCCGGGAUGAUAAUGACAGUACCGGGAGAAUAAGCUCCGGCUAACUCCGUGCCAGCAGCCGCCGUAA